AGGAUGAACGCUAGCUACAGGCUUAACACAUGCAAGUCGAGGGGAAACGAUAUUGGAAGCUUGCUUCUGAUAGGCGUCGACCGGCGCACGGGUGAGUAACGCGUAUCCAACCUGCCCAUCACUUGGGGAUAACCUUGUGAAAGUAAGACUAAUACCCAAUGACGUCUCUAGAAGACAUCUGAAAGAGAUUAAAGAUUUAUCGGUGAUGGAUGGGGAUGCGUCUGAUUAGCUUGUUGGCGGGGUAACGGCCCACCAAGGCGACGAUCAGUAGGGGUUCUGAGAGGAAGGUCCCCCACAUUGGAACUGAGACACGGUCCAAACUCCUACGGGAGGCAGCAGUGAGGAAUAUUGGUCAAUGGACGAGAGUCUGAACCAGCCAAGUAGCGUGCAGGAUGACGGCCCUAUGGGUUGUAAACUGCUUUUAUAAGGGAAUAAAGUGAGUCUCGUGAGACUUUUUGCAUGUACCUUAUGAAUAAGGACCGGCUAAUUCCGUG
rnacentral:rRNA from 1 species